rnacentral:siRNA from 1 species
AGAGUGGUUCAGCUUCUUUACUGC